rnacentral:rRNA from 1 species
CCAGACUCCUACGGGAGGCAGCAGUGGGGAAUAUUGCACAAUGGGGGGAACCCUGAUGCAGCGACGCCGCGUGGGUGAAGGAGCACCCCGGUGCGUAAAGCCCUAUCGGCAGGGAAGAAACAGACGGUACCUGACUAAGAAGCCCCGGCUGACUACGUGCCAGCAGCCGCGGUAAUACGUAGGGGGCAAGCGUUAUCCGGAUUCACUGGGUGUAAAGGGAGCGUAGACGGCGACGCAAGUCUGGAGUGAAAGCCCGGGGCCCAACCCCGGGACUGCUCUGGAAACUGCGGCGCUGGAGUACGGGAGGGGCAGGCGGAAUUCCUGGUGUAGCGGUGAAAUGCGUAGAUAUCAGGAGGAACACCGGCGGCGAAGGCGGCCUGCUGGACCGUGACUGACGUUGAGGCUCGAGAGCGUGGGGAGCAAACAGGAUUAGAUACCCCCGUAC